rnacentral:rRNA from 1 species
AUGGGGUUCUUGAGGUUCACAAAUCUCCAGAAUUCAGAUUCAUGCACACCUUCAAAACCGGGGAAGAUACAUUUAGUUUCUAGAACCACUCAUAUUUUUUUAUUUUCAGCGCAUAAUGUAGAGAUCAAAAGAAUUACUCUAUGUUUAUGCCAGGGUGUAUUUUUAACGAGGAAACAUCGUUUUCACCAACAAGGUACUAUAUAUUCUCAUUCGGAAGAAAAAAGAGCAACUUUCAUGUGUCCUCAAGUUACCCUGUGUUUGCUUAGCCUUGCUUUGUGUGUGCCAAAAAGAAAAUAUUAA